rnacentral:lncRNA from 10 species
AGAGCUAGAGCAUAUUUGCCUGCCACAGUUAGUUUUGUGUUUCCAUGGAAUUUGAGCAAAACUGAUGCACUUGUCUCCCAGGAUUAAUCCAUACAAGUCACCUCUAAAAUUAUCUUUUCCCAUUCGUUGACUGAGCAAAAUGGACUUCAAGGACCUAAAGGAGGUUAAAUACCACAAGAUGGAGGAGCUUGAGUCUCUGAAUCAUUGUGUGUGAAGUCAUCUGCCAAUUACAUAAAUUGAAUUCUUGGACAUGAAAGCUGAGAGAAAACCCUUCUACCUAGGAACUCCGGAGUUUCAACUACCAGAGACUGAAGGCAGGAGAGAAAAACUAAGACAAAUGACUUCAAAGCCUUUCUGAAAUGCCACAGAGGGUCAGGAUUACAAUCUGCCUAUUCUGAUUCUUCUACUAUGGGAAAAAAUCUUUUUCAGAAUUGAUGUAAAGCCUCUGUUAAUACUUUUCCUGUUAACAACCUAACUAUUCAACUGCUGAAUAAAAACCAUUAGGACAACUAAAGAAACUGAGAGAUUUUGGCAAGAAAUAGUCAUUCCAAUAUCAAUGACUACGGAGGAAAUGCAAUUACUUUUCUUUGCUUAAGUUUUCCAGGUUUGUGUUCUUAAGUAUGAGCCACAGCAUUUAUAACAACCCCAGAAUGUACCAUUUUUAUACAAGAAUUAAAUAAUAGCCCAAAUUAAGUAUUUGGCUCUUAGGAAUUUGAGAACUUUUGCAAAAUGAUAUCUUUCAUAAAAAAUAAAUGUUGUAAAACUAUAUAUAUUUAAUAAACCCAUUGCAGUAACCAGCAAAAAUAAAUUUAGCUUUCUGAAAGGCCUUUCUCUGUUGCCCAGGCUGGAGUGCAGUGAGGCAAUCUUGGCUCACCACAAUCUCUCCCUCCUGGAUUCAAGCAAUUCUCCUGCCUCAGCCUCCCGAGUAGCUGGGAUUACAGGCAUGCACCACUAC